rnacentral:lncRNA from 1 species
CAAAAUCUAAGAAAAGAUCGUACCCAAGCGAGGAAAUAAGCUUCUCUGAGGAAGAUCUGGACAACGUGGUCAGCCCGCAUGAGGAUCCACUAGUGAUACAAGUGGAUAUAGGGGAUGACUUAAGUCUGAACAAAGUAAUGGUGGACAACGGCAGCUCAGUAGAUAUAUUAUACCUAGCUGCGUUCGAAAAAAUGGGCUACAAAGUGGAUCAGCUAACCCCGGCCAAGGAAGC